rnacentral:lncRNA from 1 species
CACCAGCUUAACGCGGAGCAGCUGGAGGCUUUGUGCUGUGCGUCUGCUGUGAGUGGCAAGUGCCUGACUAGGUGCGUCUUGCUGGAGGGGGUUGGAGCCCGGAGCAGAGAUAAGUGUGUGUAAGAGCGUCGAGGAGUUGCGAAGAGUGUCGAGGAGUUUGAAGGGAAAAGGGGGGAAGUACGCAACACACGGCGGGCGUGAUACGCUCCUCAAACGAUUGGAAGGGGAGAGGAAAGGGUGUGCGCGUAUAGCUUGUGCGCGUAUAGCUUGUGUGUAUAUGAAAUCCUUUUUUUCAGGAUUUGAAAUUGCACCCAAGGUUGUCAAGAUUGUCUGAACUUUAUCCAUAUGUUAUAAAUACGUUUUAUAUAUCAAGACGCAACUCGUAUGAUAAUUUCGGAUCAUGUUUGUGCGGGUUUCGAACUCCCUGUCGUGCGGUGCUUAAUCGUCACCCUGCUAGGGAGCGCGCCGAUGCCGUACAGCAGCGCCUGCUCAAGAUUCUCACCAGCCCGUCACCUUCCAACGACAGCGGCAACGGUCAUAACGGUAUCCAAAACGGCAACGACAGUUACCCUGCACGGCGUCGCGCGGGCGCUGCGGGCGGCUUCCAAGUGCUGACCCCGGCGCUCAACACCAUCUUUGCGCUGUACGACCACGGGUAUUUGCCCCAGGUGGCUCUACUUCAGGUAGAGGGGAUGGGGGUUGGGGUGGGCCCGGGAGGGAAGAAGGAAGGGUACGGGAGAGGUAAGCCGAGCGGCACCACCAGCACCAGCACCACCAUCAUCAUCAUUAUCACCAGCACCAGCACCAGCACCAUCAUCAGCGUCAUCAUCACCAAAUCUCCACACCCCACAGCCAAACGCGAUAAAACAAAAACCGCCCGGUCCCACCCUCCCACCCUUCAGGCUGUAUUCCGCCAGGCCGUCAACCAUUGCGGUGAGGUCACUCGUAGUCAGUGGCACGGACUGCACGGACUCGCCAGGAGGUUCAG